UGACCGUAGUAGCGUCAUUCAGAAGUCGUUUGCCUUUGCCAUUGGACAUCUGGUCAGGACAGCCAAAGACGGCAGCGUUGAGAAGCUUCUGCAGAAACUGAAUACCUGGUACCUGGAAAAAGAGGAGGCACUAUACAGGUCCUCAUGUUGUCUGGUGGUUCAUGCCAUCAGUCACUACAGUCC